rnacentral:misc_RNA from 2 species
CCCAACUAUCCCUAUUAAUCAUUAUGUCGAUCCUAGAAACCAACAAAAUAAAAUCAAACGUCCUAUUUCAUUAUUCCAUGCUAAUGUAUUCAAGCGUGCGCCUGCUUUAAACACUCUAAUUUUUUCAAAGUAACAGUCCUGAUUCCUCAUGACACCAAAUUAAUGACAUCGCGGUUCUUCAGAAGGUAGGAACCAAUAAUGCCAGUGCGUACCGAGGCACGACCGACAAUCUGAUUCCGAAAUUCAACUAUGAGCUUUUUAACUGCAACAACUUUAAUAUACGCUAUUGGAGCUGGAAUUACCGCGGCUGCUGGCACCAGACUUGCCCUCCAA